rnacentral:rRNA from 1 species
ACGCACGCUGGCGGCAUGCCUAACACCUGCAAAUCGCACGAGACCUUCGGGUCUAGUGGCGCACGGGUGCGUAACGCGUGGGAACCUGCCCUUAGGUUCGGAAUAACUCCCCGAAAGGGGUGCUAAUACCGGAUAAUGUCUUCGGACCAAAGAUUUAUCGCCUUUGGAUGGGCCCGCGUUGGAUUAGCUAGUUGGUAGGGUAAAAGCCUACCAAGGCGACGAUCCAUAGCUGGUCUGAGAGGAUGAUCAGCCACACUGGGACUGAGACACGGCCCAGACUCCUACGGGAGGCAGCAGUGGGGAAUAUUGGACAAUGGGCGAAAGCCUGAUCCAGCAAUGCCGCGUGAGUGAUGAAGGCCUUAGGGUUGUAAAGCUCUUUUACCCGGGAUGAUAAUGACAGUACCGGGAGAAUAAGCUCCGGCUAACUCCGUG